AGUGAACGCUGGCGGUAGGCCUAACACAUGCAAGUCGAACGGCAGCACAGGAGAGCUUGCUCUCUGGGUGGCGAGUGGCGGACGGGUGAGGAAUACAUCGGAAUCUACUUUUUCGUGGGGGAUAACGUAGGGAAACUUACGCUAAUACCGCAUACGACCUACGGGUGAAAGCAGGGGAUCUUCGGACCUUGCGCGAUUGAAUGAGCCGAUGUCGGAUUAGCUAGUUGGCGGGGUAAAGGCCCACCAAGGCGACGAUCCGUAGCUGGUCUGAUAGGAUGAGCAGCCACACUGGAGCUGAGACACGGUCCAGACUCCUACGGGAGGCAGCAGUGGGGAAUAUUGGACAAUGGGCGCAAGCCUGAUCCAGCCAUACCGCGUGGGUGAAGAAGGCCUUCGGGUUGUAAAGCCCUUUUGUUGGGAAAGAAAUCCAGCUGGUUAAUACCCGGUUGGGAUGACGGUACCCAAAGAAUAAGCACCGGCUAACUUCGUACCAGCAGCCGCCGUAA
rnacentral:rRNA from 1 species